GAUGAACGCUAGCGACAGGCCUAACACAUGCAAGUCGAGGGGCAGCACAUGAGUAGCAAUACGAUGGUGGCGACCGGCGCACGGGUGAGUAACACGUAUGCAACCUGCCUUCUACUAUGGGAUAACCCGUUGAAAGACGGACUAAUACCGUAUAAUACAGGGGCUCCGCAUGGAGAUAGUUGUUAAAGAUUUAUUGGUAAAAGAUGGGCAUGCGUAUGAUUAGAUAGUUGGUGAGGUAACGGCUCACCAAGUCAACGAUCAUUAGGGGUUCUGAGAGGAAGGGCCCCCACACUGGUACUGAGACACGGACCAGACUCCUACGGGAGGCAGCAGUGAGGAAUAUUGGUCAAUGGACGAGAGUCUGAACCAGCCAAGUCGCGUGAAGGAAGACGGUUCUAUGAAUUGUAAACUUCUUUUGUGCAGGAAUAAAGUGGGUUACGUGUAACCUUUUGUAUGUACUGUACGAAUAAGGAUCGGCUAACUCCGUGCCAGCAGCCGCGGUAACAC
rnacentral:rRNA from 1 species